rnacentral:rRNA from 1 species
AACGUACGCUGGCGGCACGCCUAACACAUGCAAGUCGAACGAAGUAGCAAUACUUAGUGGCAGACGGGUGAGUAACAUGUAGGUAUCUGCCCUUUGGCCUGGAAUAACGCGAGGAAACUUGUGCUAAUACCGGAUAAGUCUUUACGGAGAAAGCUUUAUGCACCAUUGGAUGAGCCUGCACUUGAUUAGUUUGUUGGUGGGGUAAUGGCCUACCAAGACUGUGAUCAAUAGCUGAUUUGAGAGGAUGAUCAGCCACAUUGGGACUGAGACACGGCCCAAACUCCUACGGGAGGCAGCAGUGGGGAAUCUUGCACAAUGGAGGAAACUCUGAUGCAGCGAUGCCGCGUGAGUGAAGAAGGCCCUUGGGUUGUAAAGCUCUUUCGUCGGGGAAGAAAAUGACUGUACCCGAAUAAGAAGGUCCGGCUAACUUCGUGCCAGCAGCCGCGGUAAUACGAAGGGACCUAGCGUAGUUCGGAAUUACUGGGCUUAAAGAGUUCGUAGGUGGUUGAAAAAGUUAGUGGUGAAAUCCCAGAGCUUAACUCUGGAACUGCCAUUAAAACUUUUCAGCUAGAGUAUGAUAGAGGAAAGCAGAAUUUCUAGUGUAGAGGUGAAAUUCGUAGAUAUUAGAAAGAAUACCAAUUGCGAAGGCAGCUUUCUGGAUCAUUACUGACACUGAGGAACGAAAGCAUGGGUAGCGAAGAGGAUUAGAUACCCUCGUAGUCCAUGCCGUAAACGAUGUGUGUUAGACGUUGGAAAUUUAUUUUCAGUGUCGCAGGGAAACCGAUAAACACACCGCCUGGGGAGUACGACCGCAAGGUUAAAACUCAAAUGAAUUGACGGGGACCCGCACAAGUAGUGGAGCAUGUGGUUUAAUUCGAAGAUACGCGCAGAACCUUACCAACACUUGACAUGUUCGUCGCGACUCUAAGAGAUUAGAGUUUUCGGUUCGGCCGGACGAAACACAGGUGCUGCAUGGCUGUCGUCAGCUCGUGUCGUGAGAUGUUGGGUUAAGUCCCGCAACGAGCGCAACCCUCACUUUUAGUUGCCAUCAUUAAGUUGGGCACUCUGAAAGAACUGCCAGUGAUAAGCUGGAGGAAGGUGGGGAUGACGUCAAGUCCUCAUGGCCCUUACGUGUUGGGCUACACACGUGCUACAAUGGUAUCUACAACAGGAAGCGAAACUGCGAAGUUAAGCAAAUCCCUAAAAGAUACCUCAGUUCGGAUUGCACUCUGCAACUCGAGUGCAUGAAGCUGGAAUUACUAGUAAUCGUGGAUCAGCGUGCCACGGUGAAUGCGUUCCCGGGUCU